GCACAAGCGGUGGAGUAUGUGGUUUAAUUCGAUGCAACGCGAAGAACCUUACCUGGUCUUGACAUCCCGGAGACCCUUAGGAAACUAGGGGGUGCUUCCAUCUGGAAGAAUCUGGAGACAGGUGCUGCAUGGCUGUCGUCAGCUCGUGUCGUGAGAUGUUGGGUUAAGUCCCGUCAACGAGCGCAACCCUUGCCUUUAGUUGCCAGCAGUUCGGCUGGGCACUCUAAAGGGACUGCCGGUGUUAAACCGGAGGAAGGUGGGGAUGACGUCAAGUCCUCAUGGCCUUUAUGACCAGGGCUACACACGUACUACAAUGGCCGAUACAAAGGGCAGCGACACUGCGAGGUGAAGCCAAUCCCGUAAAAUCGGUCUCAGUCCGGAUUGGAGUCUGCAACUCGACUCCAUGAAGUUGGAAUCGCUAGUAAUCGUGGAUCAGCAUGCCACGGUGAAUACGUUCCCGGGCCUU
rnacentral:rRNA from 1 species